rfam:Lactobacillus florum 8D Contig00038, whole genome shotgun sequence.
CCACAGCUACAACCGCUCAGGAUGAGUUUUAAGUUCCAAGUGACACUUAUUUCUGGCGAGUCUAAGCAGAUUU